UCAACCCAUUUAACCUUCUAACCCAUCAAAUAAAAUGAGUUCAUGGGUUGACUCAACUCAACCCAUGAACCCAUUUAACUCUAAACUCAUUGGAUAAUGAGU
rnacentral:pre_miRNA from 1 species